UGAUCCUGGCUCAGAUUGUACGCUGGCGGCAGGCUUAACACAUGCAAGUCGAGCGGGGGAGGUUGCUUCGGUAACUGACCUAGCGGCGGACGGGUGAGUAAUACUUAGGAAUCUGCCUAUUAAUGGGGGACAACAUCUCGAAAGGGAUGCUAAUACCGCAUACGCCCUACGGGGGAAAGCAGGGGAUCACUUGUGACCUUGCGUUAAUAGAUGAGCCUAAGUCGGAUUAGCUAGUUGGUGGGGUAAAGGCCUACCAAGGCGACGAUCUGUAGCGGGUCUGAGAGGAUGAUCCGCCACACUGGGACUGAGACACGGCCCAGACUCCUACGGGAGGCAGCAGUGGGGAAUAUUGGACAAUGGGGGGAACCCUGAUCCAGCCAUGCCGCGUGUGUGAAGAAGGCCUUAUGGUUGUAAAGCACUUUAAGCGAGGAGGAGGCUCUUUUGGUUAAUACCCAAGAUGAGUGGACGUUACUCGCAGAAUAAGCACCGGCUAACUCUGUGCCAGCAGCCGCGGUAAUACAGAGGGUGCGAGCGUUAAUCGGAUUUACUGGGCGUAAAGCGUGCGUAGGC
rnacentral:rRNA from 1 species